rnacentral:lncRNA from 1 species
UGAAAUUGAAUAUCCCUUCGCUCAAUUGCCUUCCUUCACUGCUAUGCACCCUUUUAAACCUUCAAACACUAGAAAUGCCAGCUAGCUACAUAGAUCAUUCACCAGAGGGUAUUUGGAUAAUGCAAAAACUCAUGCAUCUGAACUUCGGUUCCAUCAAUCUGCCUGCACCUCCAAAAAAUUAUUCCAGCUCUCUGAAAAACCUCAUUUUCAUAUCAUCCUUAAACCCUAGUAGUUGUACUCCAGAUAUAUUGGACAGACUCCCUAAUGUUCAAACUCUUAGAAUAUCUGGAGAUUUGAGUCACUAUCAUUCUGGGGUUUCCAAAAGCCUAUGCGAACUACACAAAUUUGAAUGCCUGCAACUGGUGCAUGAAGGCAGGAUGUGGCAGCUCUCAAGGAUGGUCCUGUCUGAAUACCAAUUUCCUCCAUGUCUGACCCAACUAAGCUUAUCAAAUACUCAGCUAAUGGAGGAUCCUAUGCCGGCAUUAGAAAAGCUUCCACACCUUGAGGUGCUGAAACUGAAGCAGAACUCGUAUUCAGAAAGAAAACUGGCUUGUGUUGGCUCGGGUAGUUUUCCACAGCUCAAGAUUUUGCACCUGAAAUCAAUGCUAUGGCUGGAGGAGUGGACGAUGGGAGCAGGAGCAAUGCCAAAACUCGAAAGCUUAAUUGUGAACCCUUGUGCAUACUUGAGAAAGCUUCCUGAGGAGCUAUGGUGCAUAAAGAGCUUAUGCAAACUGGAGUUACAUUGGCCUCAGCCAGAGUUGAGAAAAAGGCUACGGGCUUUUGAGGACAUGGAGUGGCGGUAUGACAUCCAGUUAUAUCCUUCUGGAAUCUAACGGAUAGAAAGGGGUGAGAGUUUUACUUGAUAAUUACUGAUAUGGCAUGACUUUGUUUCACCUACUCAAUAAAUUUAUAAAUGUGCUAUCUGUAGUAAAACCUUCAAUGUUUCAAAUUUUAAUAUAUGAUUCUAAUUUCCUUUGACUUGUGUAGGAAAAAUCAAAGGGGAAGUGUCAUAUAUAACUGCAGUCUGGCUUUCAAUUUCAACUGCAAUUCAGCAUUGAUCGGUUAAAUUCUCUUCAUUUCAGGUGCCUUUCAUGGACAUUAUUUUGAAGCGGAUUUGCCACUAGUGAUGCAAUGGUUAGUCUAUUAUCUAUAAACUUGAAUAAGGUACGUUUUUGCUUUUGUUCGCACGUAUUUUGUGUUUUAAGAACUGUUGUGUGAUUAGAACUACAGUUAACUGUUGUUCAUGAAUGUUUGGUUUGGCUGCUUUGGACUGUAUGGAUACAGAUAUCUAUUCAAAUUUUCAUCAAGUAACUGAGGGAAUUGAACCAAUGGAAAUAAUAACCAAGUGACUUCAUACUUUAUUUGAAUUUUAAUUGUAUGACAAAACAAUAUGUAUGAAUUGUAAUUUGCAAAUUUGUAGUUUGCCUUGUAAUCCCUCACCGGCAAGACUAUAAACUGUAACGAAAAGUUUGGAUCAGCAUUCAUUGGGUAACCUGCAGACCAGCAAAUGCUUGAUCUGAAACCGUUUGAUCGGUCCAAGAAAAUAAACAUCACUUGAGUUACAUCAAUAAAUGGAGUAAUGUAGAUAAGCUCACUAAUGCUCGAAAUAAAUGGUUCAAAGAAAACAGAGACAAUGACUACAAAUGAACAUAACUUGAUAUCUCAGACUCGGUUAAAACUUAAAAGAAAAGUGGGGCCUGCUGACACCAAAAGGAUGAAAUUAAGGAAUCUCUUUUGAAAAGCAUCGAAGAGGAAUAAAGUGGGGAAAUGAAGAUAAAGCAAUCAAAAAUCAAAGAUAAGCUACUAGUAAUCUAACUAGAAGAUACUAAAAUAUACUUGUCUAAAUUUAAAUUGAUUUCCGCUGCCAAUUUGCAGUUUCAAUCCUCAAAAAGGGUCCAAAAAAAUGCCAGAUAUUGCCUUAGUUCUGAGGAUAUGGAGUGGCGCUUUGACAUCCAGAUAUUGCAUUAUGGAACCCAAUUGAUUGAAUGGGGAUAGGUUUAGUAUUGUUGAUGCGAGAUUCUGGUUGUCCUCGUUCUACGACCAGGCUCUCUGCUCGAUCAACUUCACCACGACCAGGAGGUCUCCUCGUAAGGCUUCUUCUCUAGAGGUUCCUGCGCACACACACAAGUCAGAGUACGCCGGUUGUUUUCCCGGCGCAAACCCUCCGAUGCUCAAGUCAGAUAUGAAGGUUCGGGGAACGCUUGCCACAGAUCUUAUGGCUUUUUCGUAGUUUGCUCUUCUUUUAGAAUUGCUUUUAUCUCUCUUCUAAUCUCAAAAUUGCUAACCCUUUUACCUUCGUUGGCUACCUUUUUAUAGGCUUCUUCUGAAUCCCAGUUUUCCGCAGCCUACGUCCGUUAUCCUCCCACCUCUCAAACGUGGAUUCUCCAUUUCCGUAGUCAUGGGUGGUUGCGUGGCCUUCGUGCCUAGAUUCUCGGGCUGGAGAGCAUGCCUCGCCAACUGUCGUUGACCGGGUCUCCUCGAAUCAACCCUUAGCAAGAAUACAGCAGGAAUGGCUUUAUGCUUCUUGCAGGAAAUUGGCCUCGCGGAUGACGUGCUUCCUGGUGACUUCCUGGUCGAGGUGACUAAUAGCAUCCUGGUCGAGGUGAUGUGCUCGAGGUCACCACAUAUUUUUCUGGUCGAGAUGAUCUGCUCAACCAUUUGCUCACUUUUACUUUGAGGAGAGCACGAUAAUGUAUGAGCAAACACCUUUAUCUUGGUCACCCCAUUUCAUUCCCUAAACACCAGUCCCCCAGUUUCUAGUGUUGAGAGUGAAACGAAUCAAGACUAGAAACUUUAGUGAUCUGCUCGUCUUCGCUUGGUUGAGCAGAUCCUGGUAUGCUUGGCUUUCUGUCUCGCCAUAAACAGGCUUUGAAACUUUGGUGAGCCUUUGCAUGCCUUUGAUUCUUCAAGGAUUGGGAUUCUGCUCGCCUUCUCGUGGCCGAGCAGAUCCUGGCAUGCUUGGCUUCUGUCUCACCAUAAAACAGGCUUUGAGACUUUGAGCCUUUGCAUGCCUUUGAUUCUUCAAGGAUUGGGAUUCUGCUCGCCUUCUCGUGGCCGAGCAGAUCCUGGCACGCUUGGCUUCUGUCUCGCCAUAAAACAGGCUUUGAGACUUUGAGCCUUUGCAUGCCUUUGAUUCUUCAAGGAUUGGGAUUCUGCUGGCCUUCUCGUGGUCGAGCAGAUCCUGGCACGCUUGGUUUCUGUCUCGCCAUAAAACAGGUUUUGAGACUUUGAGCCUUUGCAUGCCUUUGAUUCUUCAAGGAUUGGGAUUCUGCUCGCCUUCUCGUGGCCGAGCAGAUCCUGGCAUGCUUGGCUUCCUGUCUCGCCAUAAACAGGCUUUGAAACUUUGGUGAGCCUUUGCAUGCCUUUGAUUCUUCAAGGAUUGGGAUUCUGCUCGCCUUCUCGUGGUCGAGCAGAUCCUGGCACGCUUGGUUUUUGUCUCGCCAUAAAACAGGCUUUGAGACUUUGAGCUUUUGCAUGCCUUUGAUUCUUCAAGGAUUGGGAUUCUGCUCGCCUUCUCGUGGCCGAGCAGAUCCUGGCAUGCUUGGCUUCCUGUCUCGCCAUAAACAGGCUUUGAAACUUCGGUGAGCCUUUGCAUGCCUUUGAUUCUUCAAGGAUUGGGAUUCUGCUCGCCUUCUCGUGGUCGAGCAGAUCUUGGCACGCUUGGGUUCUGUCUCGCCAUAAAACAAGCUUUGAGACUUUGAGCCUUUGCAUGCCUUUGAUUCUUCAAGGAUUGGGAUUCUGCUCGCCUUCUCGUGGUCGAGCAGAUCCUGGCACGCUUGGCUUCUGUCUCGCCAUAAAACAGGCUUUGAGACUUUGAGCCUUUGCAUGCCUUUGAUUCUUCAAGGAUUGGGAUUCUGCUCGCCUUCUCGUGGCCGAGCAGAUCCUGGCAUGCUUGGCUUCUGUCUCGCCAUAAAACAGGCUUUGAGACUUUGAGCCUUUGCAUGCCUUAGUAAAUUCUUCAAUGCUUGGGAUUCUGCUCGCCUUCACGUGGUCGAGCAGAUCCUGGCAUGCUUGGCUUCUGUCUCGUCAUAAAACAGGCUUUGAGACUUGGUGAGCCUUUGCAUGCCUUAGUGACUUCUUCGAUGCUUGGGGAUUCUGCUCGCCUUUACGUGGCCGAGCAGAUCCUGGCAUGCUUGGCUUCUGUCUCGCCAUAAACAGGCUUUGAGACUUGUCGAGCCUUUGCAUGCCUUUGAUGAUUUCUUCAAAGCUUGAGAUUCUGCUAGCCUUCUCGUGGCCGAGCAGAUCCUGUAAUGCUUGGCUUCUGUCUCGCCAUAAACAGGCUUUGAGACUUGACGAGCCUUUGCAUGCCUUGGAUGAUUUCUUCAAAGCUUGGGAUUCUGCUAGCCUUCUCGUGGCCGAGCAUAUCCUGGCAUGCUUGGCUUCUCUCUCGCCAUAAAACAGGCUUUGAGACUUGACGAGCCUUUGCAUGCCUUAAUGAAUUCUUCGAUGCUUGAGGAUUCUGCUCGCCUUCACGUGGUCGAGCAGAUCCUGGCAUGCUUAUCUUUUGUCUCGCCAUAAAACAGGCUUUGAGACUUGGUGAGCCUUUGCAUGCCUUAGUGACUUCUUCGAUGCUUGGGGAUUCUGCUCGCCUUCACAUGGCCGAGCAGAUCCUGGCAUGCUUGGCUUCUGUCUCGCCAUAAACAGGCUUUGAGACUUGUCGAGCUUUUGCAUGCCUUUAAUGAUUUCUUCAAAGCUUGGGAUUCUGCUAGCAUUCUCGUGGCCGAACAGAUCCUGGCAUGCUUGGCUUCUGUCUCGCCAUAAACAGGCUUUGAGACUUGACAAGCCUUUGCAUACCUUGGAUGAUUUCUUCAACGCUUGGGAUUCUACUAGCCUUCUCGUGGCCGAGCAGAUCCUGGCAUGCUUGGCUUCUGUCUCGCCAUAAAACAGGCUUUGCGACUUGGUGAGCCUUUGCAUGCCUUAGUGACUUUUUCGAUGCUUGGGGAUUCUGCUCGCCUUCACGUGGUCGAGCAGAUCCUGGCAUGCUUGGCUUCUGUCUCGCCAUAAAACAGGCUUUGAGACUUCACGAGCCUUUGCAUGCCUUAGAAAAUUUAUCACAGUUUCAAGUGAAUGACAUUCCUCGACGUUCCAUUAAUUGCAAGUUUUUAUUUUACAUGAACUUGCUCUGACGUAAAACAUAAAAAUAAAAGAUAAAGAGCACGAGCAGAAAUUGCUUUAAAAUGUGAACAAGUCUUACUGGAAGUAUUUUUGGAAGUGUGCUGCGUUCCAUGGGCGUUUCACCUCGUGGCCGUCCGUGCGAACCAGCUUGUAAGCUCCGGGUCCCACCAUCGGCUUGACUCUAUAUGGCCCUUCUUGUUUUCUACUCUGGUAUCGAGGGAUGUUAUCUGCAUUGCUUCCCUUGCUGCCGAGGAGUAGCAGCUUCUUGCGAUCCUCUGGUCUCCUCGUACCACUCCAACUACCCCAUUCACCCGGUACUUCAGAGCCAGAUAAUGGUUGGACAGCACCGCUUUGCUCAUCCUCAGAAAUGGCCGACCCAGGAUCAUCUGGUAUGGACCUUCUUCAUCCACCACCACAAAGUCUAGUAUCAUAGUUCUUUCUGUCUGGGAGCUCCCAAUUGUGAUAGGCAGCUCAACCACACCCAGUGGGACCAGCUUUCCUCCUCCGAAUCCCUUCAAGGAGGUAUUGGUGUAUUCCAACUUCAGGUCUGCUAUUCCCAUUUCCUCCAGGGUUGACUUAAACAACACGUCAACUGAGCUCCCUGUGUCAACCAGUAUCCUGUCAAACUUCUUGCUAGCGAUAGUGGCCUUGAUGACCAAAGCAUCCUCGUGGGGGUACAGAAUUCCUUCUUCAUCCUCAUCUGUCCACAUAAUUGGCACUUGCCUGACUCUGGCACGUUUAGCUGCUGGGGUGUUGAAGAAUACCUCUUUGCUGGUCAUGGCAUAUUUAGCAUAGUUCUUCCUCAACCUGUUGGAAUCUCCGGCUAAUGUUGGGCCCCCAGCUAUCACCCUAACUGCAGGCUGCUCGCGCCUCAAGUUCCUGUCUCUCUGCUCCCCUUCACUUGUCAAGGCUACCAUUGGGAAGGUCCCAUCUAUAAACUCGUCCAAGUACCGAUUUCUCACCAAAUCUUCUACUUGGGUCUUGAGAUCUCUACACUCUGCUGUGGUAUGGCCAUGAGUGCCAUGGAACUUACAAUAGCGUCCCCUAUCUCUCCUGCCGGGUAGCUUUGUUAUUGGGGCAGGGAGGUACAGCAAUCCUCGGUCCUUUAUGGCCUCAUACACCUCGUCCAGGGACAUCUUCAAUGAAGUAUACCGCCCAUAGUCCUGGUUCUGGUCGAUCAGGUGUACUGCCCUUUCUCUAUUUGCUCCGUUUUGAGUUGGGGGUAGUGGCAGCACUUCUGGUCUGCUCCCUCUACUGCCGUGGGAGUGUUGAUGAAGACCACCAUAUGUCGAAUCAUGCCUUCUCCAAGGCUCCCUAGCUGGGGAACGAGGAGGCUGCGCCCUGCUGCGCUGAUAUUGUGGUGGCCUCUGAUGAGGCUGGUAAGCUUUUACCCGACCUCCUGCUCCACUACCUGAGCCCUGGUGGUCCCUUCUUCUGAUCGGCCCAUUCCCUGGUGGUGCCCUCUUCUCUUUCUUUUCCAACCCCUCUAGCUGGUCAGUCUUAAUCCGAGCCGCCUUUUCUUCCUCGAUCUCUAUGUCUCUUUUAGCCUGCUCGUAUGCGGCCGCAUAUGACUGAAUAGCUGGGCUUCUCAAGUUGUACCACAACCUUUCUAUCUUCACUCCCUCUUUCAAUCCCCUUAGUGCCUGAGGAUGGUUGAAGGCUCCCAAAUCGAGGACAGCACGAUGAAACCUCUUGAUGAAUUCCCGAAGGGUUUCUUGGUCCCCCUGUUUCAUGCUUUUCAGCUCCAUCAUGUCAUCUUCUGGUGCCAUCGCCCCACUAAACUGCUCUGCGAAUUCCUGGCACAUCUGCUCGAAGGUUUUAAUGCUGCCCCGAGGAAGUUUCCUGUACCACUCUCGUGCAUGUCCCUCAAGGGAUAGUGGGAACACCCUGCACCUUUGGGAUUGAGAUAAUCCUUGUACUCCAGUUAUGUCGUUGAAGCGCUCUAUGUGCACCAGCGGAUCAGUUCUUCCCGCGUAUCUAAGGUCUGGGAGGCGGAAAUCCCUUGGAAUAAUUGCCCUCAUGAUCUCUGCUGCGAGCGGUGAUUCUCCGUCCAGCAUUAUCCUCCAACCAGGAGCUCUGCUCCUUCCUUGCAUGUCGUCAAUUAUCUGCGCUAGUCUGCGCACUUCCUCCUCCAGCUGCACUGCACGACCAGGGUCACGUGCAGCAACUUGAUCCCGCUCUUGCUCUACAUCAUGCAAAUGUUGCCUCAACUCCGUUUCCUCUGCAUUCGCCACCCCAUCGUCCUCAUCAAAAAUCUGCCUUGCCGGGGACUGCUCUUCCUCUCUAUGGAAUUCUCCCCGCAGGGGUAUGUUACCUCUCUCACCACCAAGUCUCCCGAUGGUUUGACUUCUCCUUGUACUACUGGGAUCUGGUGCCACUCCACCUCCUCUCACCCUUUCUUCCUGGGUUACCCUUCGUUCGUUCCGCCGCUCAUGCAGAAUGGUUGUCAAGGAUUCCAUCUGCUUUUCCAUUCGUUCCAUCCGGUCGAACAUGGCUUUUUCCCGUGCUUCACUGGCUAUCUCCCUCAGUGUCACGGAAUCAUUAAGCCUCAUAUCACCCCCUUGUGCACUACUUCCUCCUGCCUCCAUUGCUUUUCAGUUACUUCCCCUCACUUCUUGCUAUCAACAGAAGCUUUUUGCUCAGCUCCCCACAGACGGUGCCAAAAUGUUGAUGCAAGAUUCUGGUUGUCCUCGUUCUACGACCAGGCUCUCUGCUCGAUCAACUUCACCACGACCAGGAGGUCUCCUCGUAAGGCUUCUUCUCCAGAGGUUCCUGCGCACACACACAAGUCAGAGUACGCCGGUUGUUUUCCCGGCGCAAACCCUCCGACGCUCAAGUCAGAUAUGAAGGUUCGGGGAACGCUUGCCACAGAUCUUAUGGCUUUUUCGUAGUUUGCUCUUCUUUUAGAAUUGCUUUUAUCUCUCUUCUAAUCUCAAAAUUGCUAACCCUUUUACCUUCGUUGGCUACCUUUUUAUAGGCUUCUUCUGAAUCCCAGUUUUCUGCAGCCUACGUCCGUUAUCCUCCCACCUCUCGAACGUGGAUUCUCCAUUUCCGUAGUCAUGGGUGGUUGCGUGGCCUUCGUGCCUAGAUUCUCGGGCUGGAGAGCAUGCCUCGCCAACUGUCGUUGACCGGGUCUCCUCGAAUCAACCCUUAGCAAGAAUACAGCAGGAAUGGCUUUAUGCUUCUUGCAGGAAAUUGGCCUCGCGGAUGACGUGCUUCCUGGUGACUUCCUGGUCGAGGUGACCAAUAGCAUCCUGGUCGAGGUGAUGUGCUCGAGGUCACCACAUAUUUUUCUGGUCGAGAUGAUCUGCUCAACCAUUUGCUCACUUUUACUUUGAGGAGAGCACGAUAAUGUAUGAGCAAACACUUUUAUCUUGGUCACCCCAUUUCAUUCCCUAAACAAGUAUCUUAUCUGAUAACUCAACCUUUAGUAACUUGCCUGAUUUGGUAUGCCAUUUUUCCGUUUCCUUAGUAGAUUUAUAUCUAUUGUAGAACCUCCGAGGGUCAUAAAAAUGCCUGUCUAAUUUCGGUUGCUUCAAAAUGUCAAAAUUAUGUCUCAACGUAGAUUGAACUCAAGUAGAAAAACACAGGAGAUUACUCUUUGCAGCAGAGAAACAAAGAAAGAUUCCUCUGUAUUCUAUUUCAAAAGAACUGUAAAAGCACAUUUUCAUUUAUGAUUCUUAUUUCCUUUUACUUGCCUAGGUAAAAUCAGAGGCGGAGACAUCAUGUAACUCAACUGUAAUUUAGCAUUUUUGAGCUGUCUUUUGGGGAUAUUGUUUCGUAUCGGAUUUGCCAUGCUUAAUUUAUUGUCUAUGAACUUGAAUAAGGCCUUCCUUUUUAUUGAAUUUUAGCGUCUAUUGGUAUGUAUUUUUUGAUUUUCUAACAGUCGUAUGAUUAGUUCCAAUUAAGUUUUCUUCAUUCGUGUGUGGUUUGCUCUGCUGUCUCAAAUUCACCAAUGUGAAUAUGACACUCUGCAUUAAUAUGCCAAUUAAGCACCUAAAUUCUGAUGUGUAUUAUCUCUACUUAUUUAUCAGCUUUAUGCCAUUUACCAUCUCAAGAUUUGUGCAGCAGACUGCUUUUAUAAUUGUGAAUUUGCAAUGUUACUUGUAGUCCAUCAACGGCAAGACUCUAAAAAUGUUUGGUAAAGUUCGUUGAAUAUGCAGCUAUUCUGCAAAUCUGGUCUUUGCACAAAUUAACAUCUGGUUCUGGCCUAUCGACAAUUGAUUGUUUGAUUUCCAAUUUUCCGAACAAGCCAAUAGUACCCUAACACAAUCAACCCAAGCGUUUAAAGAGGAUACAAAUUUGCAGAAGCCACAAGAAUUGCAUCAACUAUUGGAGUAAAUGCAGAUAAGACUACUGAUGCAUAAAAAUGGAAAUUAACAAUCAACUUGAGCCGUCUUUUCGGGAAGUUGUUUUGAAUUCGAUUUGCGAAUUUGAUAAAAGUGAGGCUGCGAGUAUUGUUGCAGAUUAGCCCUCCCAUGUGAUGCGCACGUGACCCACUCAUUCUCAUUUGACCACAUCAAACUUCAGUCAAAGUUGUUACAAAGCGCGGCAAAGUUUGUUUAUGCGGUUUCUGUUUUGUACUAAACACAGAUGUAAUCAUCACUAGAUUAACAAAUAAUCAUAAUUAAAGCGAUUGGCACCUAUGAUGACUUGUGUCUACUGUGAUAUUGAGUAAAGCAUACGCUUAUGCGCACAAAAAUAUUAAACAAAAGAUGCCUUAUAUAUACAUAUAAAUGUUCUUUUAGGCAUUAUUAUGGUGAGUGAGUGACCAGUGAGUUAUAGCGUCUAUAAUGUCUGGACAUAAUGAAAUAGUUGAUUGACAGUUAUCUCUAUGCACUUUGCAAUAUGAACAACUUGUAAGAUUUCACUCUACACAGUAAUUUUUGACAGUUAAUUUCUGGUGUUUUUUUUUUUUUUGGGGGUAAAAAUUAUAGGCUUUCAGAUGAAGGACAAGACUUUUUCGUGUCGUAUGAUGAAGUUUAUGAUAGUUUUGUUUAGGAGUGUGAUGAUAAAUCUUUAUAUUAUCAAGAAACUUUAGCUUUAAGAAAUUUAAGACGUUCUAGUUUCAAAAGAAAUCUAGUACUAACUUUUUUUUCAUUCCCAUCAUUUAUCUUAUUUAAUUUAUUUUAGACACUAUAAGGUAGAGUUUAUUUCACACUAUAAGGUAGAGUUUAUUUCUCUUUUUUUAAAAAAAAAUGAAUGCUGUUAUUUCAAUAAUCUUCGUAUUACAAUCUUGUCAUCAUGAUUUAUUUUCAUUUUAUUUUGAGACAAAAGGAUUGUUUUUGAAUUCUCGUUAGCAAAUGUACAUUGCUUUCCUUUUUUGGAUUGGCAAAAACAGAAAACAAAAACAAUUAAACAAGAUUGCAGGACAUCAGCAUCUUAUUCUUUUCUUGAACCAAGUCUUUGUUUUGUUUAGCUUUUGUUAAGAUGCUUUAUUAACCUUCCUCCUUUUUCCUAUUGCUAGUUUGGUACCUCGUUCAUUUCUUGAACCGAGAUAUUUGUCUUUACUUAGAAGUAAAGCUAAAAUGCUCUUUCGCCUUUCCUCCCUUUUUCUCUUAACUUGUGUUUUCUUAUGCUAUCAUUUUCAAUUGUACCAAGCACCAUUCAUUUAUCAACAUCCAGUUUGAAUAAAAUUCUUCAAUUUGAUUUUUUUUGCUUCUUCCACAUAACUGUUUGAUUGUGGUGCUUUCAGUCACAAUUAGAUAUCAUCGGGACAUUAAAUCUUUGAUUACUCAAACAAUCAAUAACAGGUAUUUUAUUAUCUGAAUUAUUCAUAUAAUAAUUUCAUUUUAUUUAUUUUUAUCUCAUGAAUGUUAGAUCCACUUUAGGUUUGUCAUUAAUUAUUUUUCACAAGUUAUAUUUUUUUAUUUUCAUUUUCGUAAGUAUCAAAAUAAUCACUAUCAUGUACACGUUGCUUGCAAUUUUAUUGUGUAAAAAUCAUCGCCCACAAAUAAUAUCAAAUGAAAUUCACUCGCACAUUAAAAAAUAUGUGCAUAUAAUUUUUUUUAAAACCAUUAUUCUCCCUUGGAGCUUACUAUUAUUUAGUACACGAAAUAAAUAAAUAAAUAGAUCUAUAACUUGAUGGAGUUGUUUGCGAAUAGGAAUUACUAUUUAUUUAGUUUGUGUUUCUGCAUCACUAUUAUCUUCUCUGUUAUAUUUGCUUUUAGCAACUGAAGUGCAUAUGAUUUAGGGUGCAUUUGGUAUCUUUUUUGUUAUAUUUGCUUUUAUCCUCAAAUGUUGUUUUUGUAUUUGUUUUAUAAUAAAGAUAUGAUUAGUUUCUAUAUAAUAUUUGUUGAGUUGUGUCACACAUUGGCUAUAAUAUGAGAGUUACUUGAGUUUAUAAGGAGGUAAGUUACUCCACCUAAAAUGUUAGUCUUUUGGGUUGAAUAACUAGAAAUUUUAUGUUAAAUCUCCCCAACAAGUGGUAUCAGAGUUUGACCCUAAUAGUUGGAAUGUGGUUAAAACAACUCAAGUGUGUCAGACGAAAGGACCGGCGUCUAGUGGUGGUGGUUUCGUUCGAGGGGGGGAUUAUUGAGUUGUGUCCCACAUUAGUUAGAAAAGAGGAGAUAGUUGGAUUUAUAAGGAGGUAGGUCACUCUACCUAAAAGACUAAUUUUUUGAGUUGAAUACGUAGAAAUCUUAUGUUAAUUCACGUUGGUAGCCUGUGUUAAAAUAGCAUUUGAAAAUGAAAUUUGUAAAAAUGUGUUUAGCAAUUCUUUUGAAAAAAUUAUAAAAUAAAUUAUAUGUCGGACCCAUCUUAUUUCCAUUCAUUCUUUGAACAAUGCAUUAUGUUGAUUGAUUAAAGUAUCCACCCGUUACGGAAUUAAUGGAAAAUAACAGUGCUUUAAGUGGGCACCAAAGACUUUUUCAAUGUUAUUUUCACCAAAUCCAAGAACAUGUCAGAAAAGUACUUUGUGAAAGAUGUUCGUCAUUCUAAUAUUUUCGUCAAAUAGAAAAAUACCAAACAGCUCCUUAGUUAGAGAUAGUUAUUUCACAACACAAGUACUCUGUUUUGCAUAUAUUUAUAUAUUUUUAAUAGCUCUGUUUUGCAAAUUCCUGCUAAACAGUAUAAGUGAGAGAAGGAGACAUGCUGGACGUCCACCUCCGACUAUUUUGUGAGAGGUUGAAAAGCGUGUUAGCAGGUGAAGAAGGCACGUUAACGUUGCCCGAUUCAACAAAUUUAACUCCACUUUUUCAAAACCUUUUUACGGAGACUGAAAUUAUUACUACUCUGCUCGGGAACUAUGAAGGCGACAUGGCUCGUCAUUUGAUUCAACUCAUUAGAGACGAAUUCGAUGAAUCCAAAAUAUCUUUGCCUUUUUUGCAACUGUUGGACUUGGAAGAAAGCGAUGAAGACGUUAAAAGACCAGACAUUUUGGAAAUUCUGGAGGACAUCAAUCACUUUGUCCAUGAAUCUGAGGAAGCCAUUGACACAUUCAUCAUCAACAUCAUGCAGCAGCAAAACAGUGAAAUCGAAACUGAGAGCAGGUCUAAUAUGGCUCUUCUUAUUGGACUCCACAGUAAAAUCAUUGAUAUUAGAAAUCGGAUGCAACAACUUCCACCCAGCGACAAUGGUUUUGAUAUCAGUGAACAAAGUAACAUAAUCAUUCGCCAAUUGAGUGAGGGACAGCCUCAGCUUGAUGUCAGUGAAUUUGAAAGGGGCAGAGAGAAGUUGUUUGAUCUAUUGAUUGAGGGACCAUCUGGGCUUUCGGUGGUUGCAAUUCUCGACAGCAAUGGCUUCGAUAAGACUGCUUUUGCUGCUGAUACUUACAAUAAUAAUCAUGUUAAGUUCUAUUUUGACUGUCUUGCUUGGGUCAGGGUUUCUCUACUCUACGAUUUUCGCAAGAUAUUGGAUGACAUAAUCAAGUCUGUGAUGCCUCCAUCUCGGGUUAGUGUAAUUAUCGGUGAAGAUUAUCAAUUGAAGAAAUCUAUUCUUCGAGAUUACCUAACAGACAAGAAGUACUUUAUUGUACUAGAUGAUGUCUUCGAUGACACUGAUAUAUGGAUUGAUCUUGAAGAACUUCUUCCCGAUGAUCAGAAUGGAAGCAGAGUAUUGAUAUUGGUCACUGAUCCAGACCUCCUUACAUCGUUGGAAAUGGAAAACGGAGAGAAGAUUUGGCUUGAUUCAGUGCUCGUUGGAGGACCACUGAUUAAAAUAAAGUAUGAAGGCUUACAAUUUUUCGUCCUACACUAUGGAAGUAUGCCAUUAGGAAAUUAUCUUAGCGGCGAAGCGAUUCCGACAGUUUGGAGACAAAUUUUUUCUGUGAUGGAGUUACCUUUUCACUUAAAAGUCUGCUGCAUCUAUUUGUGUGCCUUCCCUCCGAGUAUUGAGAUAUCUACGGAGCAAUUAUAUCAGUUGUGGGUAGCUGAAGGUUUCAUACCAUACAACAGUGAAGAAACUGCCAAACAUUACUUGAAAGAACUAAUCCAUCGUGGCUUCAUUCAAGUGAGUAAGAGAAGAUCCGGUGGCACAAUUAAAGCGUGUUAUGUUCCAAGUCUUGAAUUUACUUCAUUGGCUUUGAUGGCUGAAAAGACGGAAUUUGUAUCUUCAAUCUUUUCUGAAGAGGAAUCACUGUCAAAUGUUAAACGGUACAUCGUUUUCAAAGAUCUGAUUGAGUUUUUAUCUUUAGAACAUUCUGACAUGUAUCUCCAAUCUUUUCUGAAUCACAGUUCAAAAAGCGAUCAUCUCGCUCUGAUACAUUGCGAGAAUUUUUGUAAAAAGUUCAAACACCUUCGGGUAUUGAACUUGGGUUCUGCAGUUCUCGACCAAUAUCCACCCGGAUUAGAAAAUUUAUUCUAUUUGAAGUAUUUGAAAUUGAAUAUUCCUUCGCUCAAAUGUCUUCCUUCACUGCUAUGCACCCUUAUAAACCUUCAAACACUAGAAAUGCCAUCUAGCUACAUAGAUCAGUCACCAGAGGAUAUUUGGAUGAUGCAAAAACUCAUGCAUCUAAACUUUGGUUCCAUCACUCUGCCUGCACCUCCAAAAAAUUAUUCCAGCUCCCUGAAAAAUCUCAUUUUCAUAUCAGCCUUACACCCAAGUAGUUGUACUCCAGAUAUAUUGGGCAGACUCCCUAAUGUUCGAACUUUUAGAAUAUCUGGAGAUUUGAGUUACUAUCAUUCUGGGGUUUCCAAAAGCCUAUGCAAACUACACAAACUUGAAUGCUUGAAUCUGGUGAAUAAAGGCAAGAUGUGGCAGCUCUCACGGAUGGUCCUGUCCGAGUACAAAUUUCCUCCAAGUCUGACCCAACUGAGCCUAUCAAAUACUGAGUUAAUGGAGGAUCCUAUGCCGACACUAGAAAAGCUUCCACACCUUGAGGUGCUGAAACUAAAGCAGAACUCGUACUUAGAAAGAAAGCUGGCUUGUGUUGGCUGUAGCAGUUUUUCGCAGCUCAAGAUUUUGCACCUAAAAUCAAUGCUAUGGCUGGAGGAGUGGACGAUGGGGGCAGGAGCAAUGCCAAAACUUGAAAGCUUAAUUUUGAACCCUUGUGCGUACUUGAGAAAGCUUCCUGAGGAGCUUUGGUGCAUAAAGAGCUUAUGCAAAUUGGAGUUACAUUGGCCUCAGCCAGAGUUGAGACAAAGGCUACGAGCUUUUGAGGAUAUGGAGUGGCGGUAUGACAUCCAGUUAUAUCCAUCUGGAAUAUAACGGAUUGAAAGGGUUGAGAGUUUUACUUGAUAAUUACUGAUCUGGUAUGACUUUGUUUCACCUACUCAAUAGGUUUUAUAAAUGUGCUAUAUGUAGUAAAACCUUCAAGGGUUCAAAUUUUAAUUUAUUAUUCUGUGUCCUUUGACUUGUGUAGGAAAAGUCAAAGGGGGAAGAAUCAUAUAUAUCUGCAAUCUGGCUUUCAAUUUCAACUGUAAUUUCAGCAUUGAUCCGUUCAAUUCUCUUUAUUUGAGCUCCCCUUUGGGGACAUUAUUUUGUGGCGGAUUUGCCGCCAGAGAUGCCAUGGUUAGUCUAUUGUCUAUAAACUUGAAUAAGGUAAGUUUUUUCUGUUCAUGAAUGUAUUAAGAACUGCUGUGUGAUCCGAAUUCUACAAAAAAGACAUCUAGUCGAAGUUUCAUUAGUGUUGUUCAUGAAUGUAUGGUUUUGGCUGUCUUUGGACCGUGUGGAAAAAGACAUCGAGUCAAAUUUUCAUCAAUUGACUGAGGAAAUUGCAACAAUUUAAUGAUGCCUUAGUGAACUCAUACCUUAUAUGAAUUUUAAUUGUAUGGCAAUAGGAUAUGUAUGAAUUAAAAUUUGUAAAUUAGUAGUGUUACUUGUAAUCCCUCACCAGCAAGAAUAUAACUUGUAAGGUAAAGUUCAGAUCAGCAUUCAUUGGCUUAACUGCAGACCAGAAAUGCUUGAUCUUGAACCGUUUGAUCGGUCCAAGAAAAUAAACAUCACUUAAGUUACAUCAAUAAUUGGUGUAAUGUAGAUAAGUUUCAAUAUUGCUCAAAAUAUAUUGCUCUAAGGAAAAAUCGACAAUGACUAGAAAUGAACAUAACUUUAAUUGAUAUUAAUAUAUUUACCAUUAAACAGUUGUGUAAGUAUUAAGACAUCCAAAAUUGCAAAUAUGCAUGUUAAAAAACAAAUCCACGAACCAAAACUACCCAAAAUAGUGUCUUUGAGCUCCAAAGUAACACCCAUGUAUAGCCAGCAUUUUAUUUCAGCCCAUGUGAUGCAAGCUAUAAUUCAUUUGAAUUAUUUAUUAGAAAAGAGAAAAUAAGAUAGUUUUACGGAUAUUUCAAGUUUCAUGUUUCACCGGCACAAUUUAUGCCAAGUCCAUAAUGGAACAAAUAAUGUGUAACCUUAUGACCCACCCAAUAACAGAAUCAGAUGUAGUAUGCACAAAUUGCACAAUCAGAAAAGCAUCCUACAGAUCCAGCGAUUUAAUCUUUUAACCUUAUGACCCAACCAAUCUCGAUCUGUAACCUUUGCUUUCUGAUGUUUAACACAUUAUCUCAUCCUGGCAAAAAAUCUGAAAUGUUUUACGAGAGAAUUAAUCUUGAUAAAGGGCUUUUGGCGGUAAAAAAUAUUGCUUUAAUUAUAAAAAAAUUGAUUCAACCAAGUUGACCUAAAGGUUAUAUAAAUCUUGAUUUAGACGAUAUCAAACAACAUGUUAAGGGUAAAAUAGAAAAUAUAUUAUUUUAAUCUCACUAGUUCUUGAAGGACAUAUAUCAUCUACGUGAGCUCAGUUCAAAACAUUCAUGGUCAAAGCUCAGUAAAGUCAAGGACAAGCAUUAGAGAUACUAUCUAUCAUAGGUGAUAUUUCUUGUCGCAUUUUUUGUAAGGCUAGUAUGAUUAAGCAUUUAAAAGCUCAAUUUAUUGUCAUGAUCAUGGAACUUAAGUUUGUUUAGUUUUCAUAUUGAAAAGUUUCUAUUCUUGAAUAAAAUGAAGAUUAAAGUGUUUUUAUCAAAAUGAUUGCCUUCAAGUAUAUGGACUAAUUUUUGGAGAAUUUGAAUGAUUAAACACUCAAAACCACUCUUUUUUUCUUAUGAACUCAAUACAACUCCUCAAUUACAACUCUUUUAAAACUAAGAAGCUUUACUACUUCUUGUUGCUUAAACCAACUAAGAGAGGAGGUAUUUAUGCUUGUUACAACUUAAUCAUAACCAUAUAUUAACCAAACUACUGCACAAACCAAACCUAACAACCCUACUCAACCAUACAAAUUCUACUUACCACAUUACACUAUAAAUCUUAACUACCUAAAGAAGCUUCCAUGGACUAGAUCAUUUGGGCUUCAAUGUUGUAUGGAUCAAGUUUAUGAGCUAACACUAAUUUGGAAAGUUUUUGAAAGUUUUUGAAAAGUUUUUAACUAUUACCGGAUAACUCAAACUUUAGUUACUUGCCUAAUUUUUGUAUGCCAUUUUUUCCGCACUUCCUCAUUACAUUUAAAUAUGAGUAAUGAUACAGCCACAAACUCUUGUACAAAUUUAUUUUGUACAAACUGAUGUGGCAUGAUAAGAUUGGUUGAAUUAAAUAUCACUUGGCCCGCAUGAUUUAUUUUUAUUAAUUUAUAUUUUCAUUCAACCAAUGAAUUAAUGCCACGUCAGUUUGUACAAAAUAAGUUUGUACAAGAGUUUGUGGCUGUAUCAUUACUCUUUAAAUAUAUCGUCAGAUUUAAAUAUAUCGUAAAACCUUCAAGGGGCCAUACAAAUGCCAACUAAGUGUGAUGAUACGUGCAAAUUAUGCAUGCAUGCAAUAUGUUCGUGGGUAGCCAACAGCGGCGUUGAUGAUGAAGCAGAUAUAGUCAUAUUUGUUGAGAUGGUCAAGACGGUAGACUUAGUUAGACGAAUAGGCUGCUUAACUUAAGCAUAAGUGGUAGCAUGGUUACAUGUUUGUUUCCGAUUAUUUUGCCUUGUUGUUGCAGUUGUUUUGCUACAUUAUCUGUCACGUUUGUAAGGCUAUAAAUAGCCAAAAGCAUCUGGAUAAUGGGGAAGAGAUUUUCAGCGAAAGAACUCUUCCUUCCUUUCUUAACUUCUCCGACUUCUACUUCUUCUUAUCUAAAUUCAUUCAUAUCAUGUGAUUGCUUCAAUCUCAAAAUUAUGUCUCAACAUAGGCUCAACUUGAGUAGCAAAACAGAGUGGGAUAGCCACGUAUUACAGCAGACAAACAAAGAAAGAUCCCUCCCUCUGAAAUCUAUCUAAUAAGAACAGUGAAAGCAUAUUGUCUUUUAUGAUUCUUAUUUCCCUUUAUUUGUUGUGUAGGUUAAAUUACAGUGGGAAACGUCACAGGCCAAACGUUCAAUUUCAACUGUAAAAUCAGCUUUGAUCCAUUCAGUCUCCGUAUUCAGCUGUCUAUUCACAAAAUAAGUCCUCACGAGGCAAGGCAUUGUUUUUGCUUUGUAGAUUUCAAGGAUUUGCUAUAAGUGGCGCCUUUUUUGCAGUAAAUGUUUUCUAGAGACUUAAAUGGUUGUAUUCCUUAAUUUAAACUUAGGAUUUACAUUAUUAUUUUCUUAAAUCUUAGGAGUAUAGAUGCUCCUUUUCCUUCCAACAGUGAUAUAUUUAUAACUGAGACUACAAUAAAUAAAUUUAUUAUGGCGCAACCUAAAUUUCUGCUCUUACUAAUUAAUAAUUUUGGAGGAAAAUCUAUAUUGGUAUUGGAGAAAAUCUAUAUUGGUUUCUAUUCCAGACCAAUUGUACAAUUGGGAGCGGAAUAGAGUCUCAGUGCACGGAACAAAAACUCCGAACAGCUUUAUUUGCUUCUGAAACUCUAAUAUUGAACCAAAAUCAGUUCUAAAAUCCGACAAGAAUUCUCAAAUGAAAGCUAAACCUUACUUCGGUACAAAUUGCAGAAAAUUUUGUGCAAUGAACGAAAUACAAGUGGAAACAUAGAAAAAAAAAAUGCAUGCAAAAGAGAGACGAAUCACCAGCCAGCAAGUCAAGGUCAGAGAUAGGCGAGUGCACUCAGUGAGUUGAGGACUUUAAACGGAAAAGGUCGAAAGAAGUUCUUUUAUUUUAUUUUAUUUUCAAUAUUUCCAAAACUACCUCAACUCUAUUAAUAAGAGGGGGGUUAAAAUCCUAACACAAACUUUUAAGCUGCUAGCUGAUUAAAACUUGACGAGUUGUGUAAUCGCAAGUAGAAUUUGUCUGAGGGUGAGUGAAAACAAUUACAUCGCACUCAAGCCAGUAGGAGUUUGGGAUAUUUAUAAAAAAUGGGUGCAUUUGAACUCAAUUGCAAAUGAGUUUGGGAUAUUUAUAAAUAAUUUGGAUUCUAAAUGAUGUGGCAGUCAUUUAAAACGGGAUUAACCCUUCAACAAAUUAAUCAAAAAAUUAUUAUAUAUAGUACAACGGGAAAACCGUCCUCUAAGUACUUAUUAUUUUUUAAUCCUCUAGCUCUUUGAGACUUCUGCUGAAGUUUUGAACACAAUAAUCCGAAGGAAAAAAUUAUGGGCCACAUGGAAAUUUUGAUAGGAUUAUUACUGUGCCUAAGGAAGCAAGCAUAAGUAGUUAUUGUGAAAAUACACUGAAAAAUGGAACAAAUAAUCCAAUAAAUACAGUGACAGAACCGAAAGGCUUGUUACUCGGUGGUGGAUAAUAUAGCCAAGGAAUAAUUAUUUUCUCCUUCCAUUUCCAUGCAACUCUUUCACUUCUUACUUUGUAAAUAAGCUCAGAAAUGCAAACGAUCAUGGUGGCCAUAGACAUUAACAUGCUAAGUAAUGCGUACUGGAUUUUAUGGGCCGAUGAAAGUUGGUCGAAAAUAGCCGACGGAACCUCUAGCAUGAAAUUGACAAUGACAAAGGUUUGCUCUGGCGUAAGCUGUAUUACAAAUUUAUCAUCUAGUUAUACAAGGAACUAGGAUAUACGAAAAUUUUUCAAUCCGAAAUUAAAAUUAGCGAUUGUAGUCCGGGAUGAGUUUAUAACACUGUAAAUGGACCUUUACAUUAUUACUGCAAAAUAUUAAAAAAAUAAUUUAUAACUAUAAACUCCUCCUAAAUAUUAAUCUUGGAAUUUAAUUCCGGACCUAAAACUGAUUUCUGAGAUGUAUAUUGAAGAUAUGUAGAUUUAUGGGAUAAUAACACAGAUCCUUAUCUUUCUUCAUCAUUACAAAAAAUACAAACAUUUUGUUUUUAAUUUUCCGGAAAUGGGUUCCUGACAAAUGGUAAUGAUUAAAUAGUUUUGGUGUUAAGCUAAAUACUGUCGGUGAAAAUCUAAUACUAAAAGAUUAAUUUUUUUCAUUUUAAAAAAUCAAGGCUUAAUAAUUAAUUACUUAAUACAAAUGGCAAUAAUGAGCUUAUUAGUUGAAAUAUUAAACUCUCCUUUUGUAAUUUUUUUUUUUAAAAAAAAACUGUUUUUGUGUAUCUACUAUUUUACCCAAGAUGUGCUGUAAAAUCUCACAAUUGGUCCAAUAAAACUUUCUAUUUAUAAAAUAGUACGAGAAAAAAGAAAGUUGAAACUAAGAAUAUUUGUUUUUAAAGGGCAUAAGAGUUUUGAUAGAUUUUGAAACAUGUGGAGGCAAACCAUUAAUAUAUUUUUGGAAAGGUUAAAUUCUUUACCUUUCGAGUUGGGUGAUCUCUCUUGAGAUCCACCUUCGGAUCUUCAAUAUCGCCAAUAUCAUUUUCUAUUUCUGCUUCGAUUCCUAUAAAUUUGGAGUUCUCAUCAGUUGCUUCAGGUACGAACGGAGGAAGAUCAACAUGAGAAUGAGGGUCAUCGUCCUCAGUUGUUCUACUACUCUGGAAUACAAAUGCAGGCCAACUAUUAUUCCAGUAUUUGAUUUUUAAUUGAUGUAACAGUUUAUUUGUAAUCGGCACACCGAGAUACCUGGCCGUACUCAUAAAUUAAAAGGGACGAUGAUUGACUGACCUCUGGACUCAAGUCAUCUUUUAUAUGUGGUUCCGUGGGAUUGAGAUCUACAGCAUCGUCCUCUUCCGCAUUUAUGCUCAGGUAAAUAGAAGAGGGUGAUGACCCAACAUCAGAAUGGGUGCUAUCACUCUCAUUUGUCCUUGAGCCACUACCCUGAAAUUCAUCAUUAAAAAACUAAUGCAGUUAACCUAGAGAUGGCACUCUCACACAGAUUCCGCCAAUAAAUCAAUGUGCAAUUAAUGCAUGUGUACAUAUAUAUAUAGUAGAGAAGAAAAUUCCACAUAUACAGUAUGUACGGAAAAAGAAUAAAUUGAAACUCGAUUGCCAGGAUGGGGAAUGCCUUCUUGAGUUUGGUCUUGUAUUGCCAUACAAUAAUGUUAGAUUUACAGAGUUGUGACACAAAUUAAAUUUGGAUCCUAACUAAUGCUAUUUAUGUGUCAUUUACUAUUCUUUGAGACCUAAUCUGAUAAUUAAUUGUUGAGUUUCAUCAUUUCUCUAUUCUCAUCUAUGCUCAACGCAAAUAAAAAAUACGAACAAAUAGAGAAAAAUGAUAUGCUCACCCCACUGCUAAACGCCCUUACCUUGAACCCCACUCAAGCAAAAAUAGUUUUCAAAAAAGAAAAUUUGAUAUACAAUUCCAAAAAAAAAAAAAAAAAAGCUUGAGUGGGUUUGGGGUUUAUUGAUUGGGGAGAGUCGUACGGUUAUGAUAAAUAGAAACCUCGAUCACUUGGGAUCGGGAUCGCUUGUUGAGUUUAGUCUUCUUAAGAAGCUCGUCAUGUCGUUUCUUCAUUUCAGCAACAGCAGCUCUCAUUUUCCUUUGACCUCCUCUGGUAGCACUCUUGAUAUCGACCCUGAAGUCUUUCAAAAACUUACCAUUUUUUAAUGCAGUAAGAAAUUAAUCUUUUUUCCCUCUCUUAUAUAUACUACGUCGCAUGCCCACUGUUUCCUCUGUUUAAUUAAUUUGUCAGUGCAUUCAAUUGCUGGGAAUCAAGGCUGCAGUGUUUUACAACAACAUUUAAUUAGAAUGAAAUUGAAGAGAAGGGAGGGUUUGAAAAUAACCCUUGACAAAACGGAUAAUGAUCAGGCCAACGAUGGUUUCUAGGUAAAAGGUCUUGGUAUGCAUGUCUUUACUUGGAGAAUUAAUAUUGGUAUGAUACUAUGAUCACAGAUGAGAGAAUGUUUGUCCGUGCAACUUUAUCGUGGCAUAUAUCACAUAUACGAUAUUAUUAUAAAUUCCCCUACCUAGGAUUCGUCAGUUAAUUUUAUUUUAAGUUGACACAUUAAUGCGUACGCACACGCAAGGGGUUAGGUUAUGCUCAAACACGGGACUUUCGCUCGAAUACCACACUAAUUAAUGAAGUCAUUUAACCUAAGCUAAUUAUGUAAGAAUAUAGCUCAUGUUUUACAAAAUGGAAAAAGUCGCCCGCACCCCCAUUUUUUUUUUUAAAUAAAUGGUCACACCCAUGAGUUUUAUAAAUGGUCAUACAAAUCCGAAAUAAAAAUUUAAUAAUAAUUAUAAAUAUAAAAUUUAAUAAUAAUUAUAAAUACCAUAGAUAUUAAGAUAAAAUAAUUAAUAAAAAUAAAAUAUAUUAAAUAUAAUUAAUUAAAUGACAUAUAUAUGAUAUGAAAAUUAUUUUUAAUAUUAAUCUAAUAUAGACAUAAUAAAAAAUUUAUUAAAAAAAUAUAUAAUACAGAUUUUGUAAGUUAUGUUGAAUAUUAAAUGCAAUUAUUUGAAUAUUAUAAACUUUUGCAUGAACAUGUUUUACUAAUAUUAAAACAUAUCUGUCAUAUCAAUAAUAUUAAUACAAUUCUUUUAAUAUUCAAAAUGAUUUAUAAAAUUUAUAUUAUUUUUUUAUAUUAGAUCAUUUUAAUAUAGAAUUUUUUAAGUCAUUUUUAUUGUAAUAGUUGAAGGGUAUAAUCAUAAAAUAGAGGUGUGUGUGAUCAUUUACGAAACCCUUAUGACUUUUCAUUAGGAAAAAGACACCUACACUCUCAAGCUUUGAGGAAAUGGUCACAAAGAUACUUUAGUUUUCAAAAAAGGACACCAAAACCCCUUUAGUAAUUAGAAAAUUGAUUUUAUAUUUUUUUAAUUAAUACAAAUUUCAUACAAAUAAUAUAAUCUAUCUAGUAGACUAAUAAUAUUAAAUUACUUUUUAACAUUUACAAUAAUAUUAAAAUUUUAAAUUAUUAUAUUUUCUUUAAUAAUAUAAAAUUAAAAAAUAUCUUAGGUUUUGAUUCAAGGUUUUUAAGUUUCUUAUUGUUCUUUUUUUCACUUUUUUUAUUAAUGAUGAUACUGAAUAGAUGGUUUGGGGCUUCCUGCUAUUGGAAGGCUAUAUAUAAAUCUAUCAUUUGGCAACGGAAAGAAGAAAUAUAAAAUCAAAUUUGCUAUAGAUGUUGAAUAUUAAAUGCAAUUAUUUGAAUAUUAUAAACUUUUAUUUUUUCUCUCCUAAUUAUUAAUAUGGUGGAGUUAGACAGUUGUCGGAGUUAGAACAUAUUUCCCUAGAUUAUUAGUGAAGAUAAAAAUUUAGGCUGUUAAGAAUAGGUCCCAACAGAUGGCUGAUUGUAAUAAAAAAUACCAAAUAAAAAAAAAUGCUCAAGAUGCAAUUAGUCAACAACAUAUGAGUCGUUGUGACAAAUGCCACAGUUUAAGCUUGCAUAUUAUACAAAUGUAUAUAAUAGUGUACAAACUGGUCUUAAAGCGUUGUUAAUUUCUUUGGAGUCAUCGACGGUCCGGCCGUUCACUAUAUAUGUUUUUUGUAUUAAAAAAAAAAUAAUGCAUGCGAGGAUUCGUACAAGUUUUUUAUAUCCAGAUAAAGAGUCCAACUAGAAAGAGACAAAUCCUAAUGAUAUGACCACUAACUGAGCUAUUUACUGCAUCUUGCUCUCUUUCUUUUGGAUGCUUCUUAAUUGUUGUUGUCUUCUUAAAGAACAAGAAUAAUAUAUAACUUAUUAAAUAGAGCUUAUAGAAGUAGAACUUAUACCAAUAGAGUUUUUGGACAAAAAGUCAUUGGGUGUUUGGUUGUCAAUUAAAAAAAUACUUUUGAACCAUUAAACAGUUUGGUUGUGUAAAAUUAAAAGUGCUUUUGUGUAAUUAAAUUACCAAAAAGGAUAUGUAUUUAUAAUUAUUUAACAUGUAACAAAAUGCAUCCAAGCUAUCAAUUAAUAAGAAAAAAUCAGUUCAAUCAUUUCUUUAAUUUUCAAAAUUAAAAAUUUCAUAAUUGAUAUAUUCUCCUAAACAAAUAAUACUAUUCAAAUUAAAAUGAUAAUUAAUAAUAUAAUUGAAAUGUUAAUGGAACAUGAGAAGUGUCGUAUUACCUGACAUCCUCAUCACCAAAAAACGUUGGCUAUGACUAUGAUUACUCUCUCAAGUGUUGGUUAUGUAUUAGAGAUUGCAAAAUUAAAGUGCUGGUUAUUUAAAAAAAAACAAAAAGAGAUAAAGUGAAGUGGCGGCUGCAAUAUGUUUAUAUGGCGGCAACAAUUUUCGUUGGGUAGGUUUUAUACAAAGGGUAUUAUGUAAUUAAUGAAAUAUGUCAAGGAUAUUUUUGAUAUUAUAUAUUUUUUGGAAAAGCUCUCUAACCUCUACUCCCAAAAGCUCAAAUUUUGGGCUUUUGCUAGUAGAGGUAAAUUAGCUUAUUUAAGAUUAAAAAACUCUACUAAAAAAAAAACCAAACACCAUAAAAAAAAUUUAAAAAGUGCUAUGCGAUUAAAUAAGCACUUAUGACUCUUAAAUAAGCCAUACCAAACAGGCGCUAAGAAUAGCAUUUUAAUGAAAAGCAAGCUGGAGUAGCUCUGUUGGCUCGAGCACGUGGCUGUUAACCGAAGGUUGAACACUCGUAUUUUAAUUUUUUUUUUAUAUCAAAUUCCUCUCCAAUAGAAAUUUCAUCCCACCAAAUAUAUAAAUGGGAAGGACUAUUCGGACGCAGAAAAUUUAUUCAGAUCACUCAUAUUUUAACUAAAUUUUAUUUUAUUCCUAUAAUACUAGUAAGUUAAUUUGUUAUUAAGGAAAAUAUAUUAUGAUUACUCUUGGCACCCAUUCCUCUUGCUCAUUCAUCAUCCAUCUUGCGCCAUAAAUUUGUUUUCUUCUUAAAUUUUAAUGAUUCUGUCUCACUUCCUCAUCUCAUCACCGGUAGUCUCUCUCCUCUUCUUUCUUCUUCUCAACUGACUUAGCAAUUGAAAUUGCAAAGUGCGAGUAUACAAGAGAAUAUAUCGGAGAGAUGAGUUGGCAUAGAAUUGUGGUUUAAUCAUUCUUAAUCUGACUUUCCUUUAUUUUAUUAUAUUCUUUUAUUUGUCAAAAUAUGAUUUUUGUUCUUCCAUUUUGGCUAGAUUGGUGAUGGCUGAGUCUAGAGAAAGACUAGUUAUAUAAAUGGAUUUCAACGAAUAAAAAAAGAAGAAAAAACUAAUAUUCUGUUUAAAAAUAAAUAAAAACAUGUAACGAUAACGAUUUAAGUUAGGAUUAUUUUUGGAAUUUCAAAGAGUUCUAAGCAAUACUUAAUUUGAGAACAUUGAGGCUAUUUCACCCCAGUAAAAUACUCCCAACACCUAUUUUUCUAUAAAGUUUAAUACUCUUAAAUAAAUUUACUUAUAAAUCCCUUAGUCUCUUCUUCAUAAUCUAGCUUAUAGUUUCCUCUCUUAAAUACAUAUAAAACUAUUUUUACCCUUGAUGGAAGACAACAUUGACAAAACAAAGCAUUGCCCGCUGGGAAUUACUAAAGAAGAUAUUGUAACAUUUCUUAUAAUAAAAAAAAAACUGAAAAAUAAAAUCUCAAUUAUUAUUGAACCAGCAACAACGUCAUUUUCAAGUUUCAUGAAUAUAAAAUCAUGAUCAAAGCACAAGUGGCAGUUUGAUUGCAGAGGGUAGUAUUAAAUUCAUAUUUGCACAAACUCCAAAAGUCUCUUUGCUUAAUCACAAAUCCAAAUUACGGAUCAUCCUCCAUUACAAUCUUUAUAAUGCUUAAAACUAUAUUAUUUCUAAAAGUACUAGUUUUGCAAGGAUCACUCAUAAAAUUUACAGAUCUGAAAUUAUUUCGGCAAAGUUAGAAUGUUCUUUGAUGUUCACUGAUAUUGAUGAAGAAAUAGAUAUAUUUUCGGAAUUAAGUUCGGUGCUUAAAACAAUUAUAAAUUAUAAAUUUUGUUGAUGGCUACCUGAGAAAUUGAGUUUAUUCAGUAUUUUAAUAGAUUCAAACAGUCUCAUUCUUUCAAAAAAAUUUAUAAAAUGUCAUAAAUAAUAGAGCAUUUAGAGCAUUUUUUAAAGUGAAAAUAAUCACACGUAAUACAAAUUUUGUAGUUGACAACAAUAUUCAUAAAUUUAAUCUAUUACGGCAUACAAUUGGACAAGCCAUUUAAUUGCUGAAGACCAUUUGUUGACUUCUCUCCAGACUAUUUUAAUAAAGCAAAUAGAAAUUUCAUCCCGCCAAAUACAAAUUUGUGCAGCAGACUGCCAUUUACCAUCUCAAGAUUUGUGCAGCAGACUGCUUUUAUAAUUGUAAAUUUGUAAUGUUACUUGUUGUCCCUCAACAGAAAGACUCUAAAUAAGUAAGGUAAAGUCCAUUGAACAUGCAGCUUUUCUGCAAAUCAGGUCUUUGCACAAAUUUAAUCCGGUUGUGGUCUGUAGACAGUUGAUUGUUAAUUUCCAUUUUUUCCAACAAGCCAACAGUACCCUAACAUAAUCAACCCAAGCGUUUAAAGAGGAUACAAAUUUGCAGAAGCCACCAGAGUUGCAUCAACUAUUGGCGUAAAUGCAGAUAAGACUACUGAUGCAUAAAAAUGGAAAUUAACAAUCAACUUGAGCAAAACCAUAAAAAUGCCAUAGUAGUUAAGGUUAGUUCCAACGCAAGACCCAACUCGAGUGGCAAAACAGAGGCGGUUAGCCACACAUUGUGGCAGAGAAACAGAGAAAUAUCAUUCUGUAUUCUAUUUAAUAACUGUAAAAGCGCAUUUUCAUUUCUGAUUCUUAUUUUACAUUGUAGGUAAAAUCAGAGGGGGAUACAUCAUAACUGCAGCCACGCUUCCUAAUUCAUCUGUAAUUCAGCAUUGAUCCUUUCAAUACAUUUCAUUUCAGCCGUCUUUUGGGGAAGUUGCUUUGAAUUCGAUUUGCGAAUUUUUGGAAAUGUCUGCAGAAAUCUUUGUACAGGAGUGCGGUUAUGACAUACAAUUAUAUUAUAAUGAAACUUUAGCUUUAAGAAAUUUAAGAUGUUCUAUUUUCAAAAGACAUCUAGGACUAACUUUUUUUUCAUUCCCAUGCUUUAUCUUAGUUAAUUUAUUUUUUUGCUCACUGGGCACUAUAAGGCAGAGUUUAUUUCUCUCUCUCUAUUUUUUUUUUUCCAAACUAAUGCUGUUAGUUUAAGAAUCUUCGUAUUACAAUCUGGUCAUCAUUAUUUUCAUUUUAUUUUGAGACAAAAUAAUUGUUUUUGAAUUCUCAUUAGCAAAUGUACAUUGCUUUCAUUUUUAGAUGGCAAAAACAGGGAAAAAAAAAAUAAUAAAACAAGAUUGCAGGACAUCAGCACCUUAUUCUUUUCUUGAACUAAGUCUUUGUUUUGUUUAGCUUUUGUUAAGAUGCUUUAUUAACCUUCCUCCUUUUUCCUAUUGCUAGUUUGGUAUCUCUUUCAUUUCUUGAACCAAGAUAUUUGCCUUUAAUUAGAAGUAAAGCUAAAAUGCUCCUUCGCCUUUCCUCCCUUUUCUCUUAACUUGUGAUUUCUUAUGCAAUCAUUUUCAAUCGUACCAACACCAUUCAUUUAUCAAUAUCCAGUUUGAAUAAAAUUCUACAAUUUGAUUUUUUUUGCUUCUUCCACAUAAUUGUUUGAUUGUGGUGCUUUCAGUCAGAAUUAGAUAUCAUCGGGACAUUAAAUCUUUGAUUACUCAAACAAUCAAUAACAGGUAUUUUAUUAUCUGAAUUAUUCAUUUAAUAACUUCAUUUUAUUUAUUUUUAUCUCAUGAAUGUUAGAUCCACUUUAGGUUUGUGAUUAAUUAUUUUUCACAAGUUAUAUUUUUUAUUUUCAUUUUCAUAAGUAUCAAAGUCAUCACUAUCAUGCACACGUUGCUUGUACUUUUAUUGUGUAAAAAUCAUCACCCACAAAUAAUAUUAAAUGAAAUUCACUUGCCCAUUGAAAAAUAUGUGUAUAUACUAUUUUUUAAAAACCAUUAUUCUCCCUUGGAGCUUACUAUUAUUUAGUACACGAAGUAAAUAAAUAAAUAGAUAUAUAACUUGAUGGAGUUAUUUGCGAAUAGGAAUUACUAUUUAUUUAGUUUUGUGUUUCUGCAUCAGUAUUAUCUUCUCUGUUAUAUUUGCUUUUAGCAACUCAAAGUGCGGAUUGAGCUACGGUGCACCCUUCUUUUUGUAUUUUUUUGGCUGCACCCCAUAGUCUCUUCUAUAUUUACAGUUUAUUAAAGUAAUUUAUUUUUCCUCUUUCUUCAACCCCUCACUUCUACAUUCUUCUAGAUUUUUUCCAUUUUCAAUUAAACCUGUAAUCAACCAAUUGCAAUCAAUAAGAGAAACUUGACUUUCUCAUUGAAGCUACUUCCUUGUUGCCUUAAGAUUCAUUUGCUCCACAUCGCAUAAGCAAUAAUGAAUUAAACUUUUUAUAUAAAAGAAAAUCACAUAGAUACAUUUUUGUAUCCACAAUAUAUUCAUCAUACAGUGAAAUUUAGGUGUAAGAAAAUUGAAAUUUUUGAUGUUUUAUUACGCGUCUUCUUCCCCUCUUCUCUUCCAUGUGUCUCUCCAUUUGCUCCUUAAAUAAUCUAACUCUAGGGCUUUCUAAUAAUUGGAUAAUUAUUAUAAUAAUUAUUAUUAUUUUAUCAGUAAAGCUCCUCUUAUUAUGUUAAUGAGUUUGUUUUCUUAGGAAAAAAUAAUAUUUUAGCAAAUGAUCAAAAGUGAGAGCUUUAACAAAAAUUCAAAAUCUGUCUUAGUUUUCAUUGUCUUUGACGCAUCUGGCAUGUUUGAUUUCUUGAUUAUAACUUGCAAAAGUGGGUACUAUAACACAAUGACAAUGAUUAGUGAUUUGUGCUGAGAGAAUUUGGGAACAAAAGAUAUUUGUUCAUAAACAAACAACACAUCCCUGCCCUUGAAACUCCUUUUGUGUCAGAUCCAAUGGUGGCAGAACAAAGAGACACAAAGACGGGUACGGUGUAACCGUUCCACCAUAGCUAGAUCCCUCGAGUGCAUUGUUCUUCAUUCUAAUAUUUUUGCAACAUAGAAAAUAACUUACGAAAAACAAUACCAAACAGCUCCUUAGUUAGAGAUAGUUAUUUGACAACACAAGUACUCUGUUUUGCAUAUAUUUAUAUAUUUUUAAUAGCUCUGUUUGAAAAUUCCGGCUACACAGUAUAAGUGAGAGAAGGAGACAUACUGGACGUUUACCUCCGACUAUUUUGUGAGAGGUUGAAAAGGGUGUUAGCAGGUGAAGAAGGCACGUUACCGUUGCCUGAUUCAACAAAUUUAGCCCCGCUUUUUCAAAACCUUCUUAUGGAGUCCGAAAUUAUUGCUACUACUCUACUGGAAAACUAUGAAGCUGACAUGGCUCGGCUUUUGUUUCAACUCAUUAGAGAAGAAUUCGAUGAACCCAAAAUAUCUUUGCCUUUUUUGCAACUGUUGGACUUAGAAGAAAGUGAUGAAGACGUUAAAAGACAAGAUAUUUUGGAAAUUCUGGAAGACAUCAAUGACUUUGUCCAUGAAUCUGAGGAAGCCAUUGACACAUUCUUCAUCAACAUCAUGCAGCAGCAAAACAGUGAAAGUGAAAGUGAAAGCAGUACUAGUAUGGCUCUUCUUGUUGGACUACACGGUAAAAUCAUUGAUAUUAGAAAUCAGAUGCAACAGCUUCCACCUAGCGACAAUGGUUUUGAUAUCAAUGAACAAAGGGACAAACUCAUUCACUUAUUGAUUGAGGGACAAUCUCAACUUGAUAUCAAUGAAUUUGAAAGGGGCAGAGAGGAGUUGUUUGAUUUGUUGAUUGAGGGACCAUCUGGGCUUUCAGUGGUUGCAAUUCUCGACAGCAGUGGCUUCGAUAAGACUGCUUUUGCUGCAGAUACUUACAAUAAUAAUCACGUCAAGUUCUAUUUUGACUGUCUUGCUUGGGUCAGGGUUUCCAUAGUCUACGAUUUUGGCAAGAUAUUGGAUGACAUAAUCAAGUCUGUGAUGCCUCCAUCUCGGGUUAGUGUAAUUAUCGGUGAAGAUUAUCAAUUGAAGAAAUCUGUUCUUCGAGAUUACGUAACCAACAAGAAGUACUUUAUUGUGCUUGAUGAUGUCUUCGAUGAUCGUGAGAUAUGGAGUGAUCUUGAAGAAGUUCUUCCUGAUAAUCAGAAUGGAAGCAGAGUAUUGAUAUUGGUCACUGAUCCAGACCUCCUUUCGUCGUUGGAAAUGGAAAACGGAGAGAAGAUUCGGCUUGAUUCAGUGCUCAUUGGAGGACCAUUGAUCAGAUUAAAGCAUGAGGCCUGGCAAUUUUUCAUCCUACACUAUGGAAGUAUGCCAUUAGGAAAUUAUCUUCAAGGCGAAGCGAUUCCGACAGUUUGGAGACAAAUUUAUUCUGUGAUGGAGUUACCUUUUCACUUGAAAGUCUGCUGCAUCUAUUUGUGUGUCUUCCGUCCAAGUAUUGAGAUAUCUACGAGGCAAUUAUAUCAGUUGUGGGUAGCUGAAGGUUUCAUAUCAUCCAACGGUGAAGAAACUGCCGAACAUUACUUGAAAGAACUAAUCCAACGCGGCUUCAUUCAAGUGAGUAAGAGAAGAGCCGGCGGCACAAUUAAAGCGUGUUAUGUUCCAAGUCUUGAAUUUACUUCAUUGGCUUUGAUGGCUGAAAAGACGAUAUUUGUCUGGAAUCCUGGCAUGGAAGAGGAAUCACUAUCAAAUGUUAAACGGUGCUUCAUUUGGGAACAUCUGAUUGAGUUUUUAUCUUUAGAACAUCCUGACAUCUAUCUCCAAUCUUUUCUGAAUCACAGUUCAAAAACCGAUCAUCUGGCUCUGAUACAGUGCGAGAAUUUUUGUAAAAAGUUCAAACACCUUCGGGUAUUGAACUUGGGUUCUGCAGUUCUCGACCAAUAUCCACCCGGAUUAGAAAAUUUAUUCUAUUUGAAGUAUUUGAAAUUGAAUAUUCCUUCGCUCAAAUGUCUUCCUUCACUGCUAUGCACCCUUAUAAACCUUCAAACACUAGAAAUGCCAUCUAGCUACAUAGAUCGGUCACCAGAGGAUAUUUGGAUGAUGCAAAAACUCAUGCAUCUAAACUUUGGUUCCAUCACUCUGCCUGCACCUCCAAAAAAUAAUUCCAGCACUCUGAAAAAUCUCAUUUUCAUAUCAACCUUACACCCUAGUAGUUGUACUCCAGAUAUAUUGGGUAGAC